GAGUGCAUAGCUCAGUGAUAGAGCACAUGUUUAGCAUGCACAGAGUCCUGGGUUCAAUCCCCAGUACCUCCA
rnacentral:tRNA from 1 species